GACGAACGCUGGCGGCGUGCCUAAUACAUGCAAGUUGAGCGAUGAAGAUUGGUGCUUGCACCAAUUUGAAGAGCAGCGAACGGGUGAGUAACGCGUGGGGAAUCUGCCUUUGAGCGGGGGACAACAUUUGGAAACGAAUGCUAAUACCGCAUAACAACUUUAAACAUAAGUUUUAAGUUUGAAAGAUGCAAUUGCAUCACUCAAAGAUGAUCCCGCGUUGUAUUAGCUAGUUGGUGAGGUAAAGGCUCACCAAGGCGAUGAUACAUAGCCGACCUGAGAGGGGGAUCGGCCACAUUGGGACUGAGACACGGCCCAAACUCCUACGGGAGGCAGCAGUAGGGAAUCUUCGGCAAUGGACGAAAGUCUGGCCGAGCAACGCCGCGUGAGUGAAGAAGGUUUUCGGAUCGUAAAACUCUGUUGGUAGAGAAGAAAGUUGGUGAGAGUGGAAAGCUCAUCAAGUGACGGUAACUACCCAGAAAGGGACGGCUAACUACGUG
rnacentral:rRNA from 1 species